UAUAAUUUGGGUUUAAGAUUUACGGUUUGGGUUUAGGGUCUACGACUUUGGUUUAGGGUAUAGAGUUUAGGUUUAUAGUCUAGUUUUUGGGUUUAGGGUAUAUAAUUUGGGUUUAGGGUCUAGGAUUAGGGUUUAGAGUAUAGGGUUUGGGUUUAGGGGUUUGGAUUUGAGUUUAGAAUUUAGGGUAUAGGGUUUAGAAUUUAAGAUUUAGGAUUUAGAGUUUAGCUGGAAGCGUUAGCGUCGUUAAAAUUAGCGUUUUUAUUUUUUG
rnacentral:lncRNA from 1 species